rnacentral:hammerhead_ribozyme from 1 species
AUCCAGCUGAUGAGUGCGUAAUAGGACGAAACACGCGUCCUACAU